ACUUGGGGCAGUGGCAUGCACCUGUGGUCCCAGCUCCGUGGGAGGCUGAGUGGGGAGGACUGCUUGAGCUUAGGAGUUCUGGGCUGUAGUGUGCUAUGUCCAUUGGAUGUCCACACUAAAUUCAGCAUCAAUAUGGUGACCUCCUGUGAGCAGAGACUACCCAGUUGCUAAGGUGUGGUGAACUAGCCCAAGUUGGAGACAGAGCAGGUUAAAACUCUUGUGCUGAUCAGUAGUGGGAUUGAAUCUGUGACUAGCCACUGCACUCUAGCUGGGCAACAUAGUAAAACCCUGUCUCUA
rfam:Chlorocebus sabaeus isolate 1994-021 chromosome 8, whole genome shotgun sequence.